rnacentral:lncRNA from 1 species
GAUAAAAUAGCGACUUCUACUUCAACAAGUUUUGAAUAUGAUCGGAGGGCAGCCAUUAUUGAAUUGCUUUGUGUGAGAAAAAUGCUGAAGGAAAUCAUUGCAUGGUUUUGCUACAAGAAGCCAACAGAUUUAGGGAGUCUAGGCCCAGAGAAACUUAUUCUUAACCGAGCCAAACACGGAAAGCAAUCUGAUUGCAAGAGGAGUGACGAAUUUGUCUCCGAAUUACAGAUCAUCUACCAGAAUCUAGGGCAAAGUAUGGCUAACUUGGCAAAAGAAAAAUGGGCAUGGCGAGGUCAACAAUCAGUCUAGCAGUGCAGAAGGAUUUGGCGUACAAAUCUUUUUUCUUCAGGAACCAACGACUGUUGACCAAAAAAAACAAGAUCGACCUGAAAAUGGUUGCCAU